GAAAAAAGGCACGACUACACGCGCAGCCACGCACGCACGCCAUUGCCACCUCCCUCUCUACAUGUAUUGGGCUCGUCUGUCCACGACAUACGAACAUCUUGACAAUGCCGUUGACCAGAAACAACUGCACAUUUUGCCAGUACUUUCACGCUCAGCAUGACGCCGUCCGAUGCUCCUGCGCCGCGUGUUGGCGUCGGCGUCGCAGUGGCGACUCCGCCAGCGCCGCUGGAAGGAUUGCGCCUCCGAAUUCAGUGAGUGAGGCACGGAUAUCGAGCCACUUUGUGACCUCCAGCCCGGCUGACGGCUCUGUAGCGACAGCUUCUGUCGCAGAUGCGGAGGUGCCACCGGUAGUUGCUGAAGGACCGUGCCCGCACAGCGCCGCUCCGUACCACCACUGCCGCGGCUGCGUCCUGCCUCCGUAUUUUGAACGUCAGCAGGCUCACUGGGAUGGCCACGCAGUCAUGUGCGCACCGAGUGCCCGCCAGAGCGCAGGGCGCAGCCGCUCUGCAACGUCUCGAUAUCGCCGUGGGACGAGCCGUGUCAAGGCGCCGAUGCCACCUCUCCCUCAGUACGCCGCGCAUGAGGUGCCAAUCAUGGGACCGCUGGCAUCUCUCUACAUAAAGUCGUAGAAUGUCGCACAUUGCACAGCCCUCGAGCAGCCACUCACUCCUAUGCGAGCAUCGUCUUGACACAUACACACAGGCGAGUGUGCAAGCGGCACCGUUUUAGGCAUCUCUUCAGUGUGAUUGCCCUUUUCCAUCGGCUGUGUACUGCCCACCCCAUCCCGCUUCGGCCCCGCCAUCUCAGCUGCACCGCCAAUCUUUCUCUUCUUUAGACUCGAAGUGCGCAAUAGACCCGAUUUGGCCGUGCCUCCUCUCUCUCUCUCGCGCGCGCGUUCCUGUUCCUGCGCAAGCGCAUUUGCACCACCCUCCAUGCAAACCCGCCCUUGUGCUCUACACAGCGAGGAUUCUCUGCACUGCCUGUGCACUGUUGUACGCCGGCAGUGGCCACCGCCGCAUGUUGUACUUGCUUUACUCGUCCCGCACGCGUCUCUUCCUUCUGGGGCUCGUUCUUAUUGUUUUGCUCCCUGCCGGUGCUAUCCCGCCCGCACGGGAACCCCCACACAACGCUCCUUUCCCACACAUGCAG
rnacentral:misc_RNA from 1 species